rnacentral:rRNA from 1 species
AGACGAACCGUCCAAACGUUAUUCGGAAUCACUGGGCUUAAAGGGUGCGUAGGCGGCUUGGCAAGUUGGGUGUGAAAUCCCUCGGCUCAACCGGGGAACCGCGCUCAAAACUGCCAGGCUAGAGGAAGAUAGAGGUGAGCGGAACUGAUGGUGGAGCGGUGAAAUGCGUUGAUAUCAUUAGGAACACCUGUGGCGAAAGCGGCUCACUGGGUCUUUUCUGACGCUGAGGCACGAAAGCUAGGGUAGCGAACGGGAUUAGAAACCCCGGUAGUCC